CAACUACUCCCUCCGUCCUGGAAUUCUUGUCUUAGAUUUUUCUAGAUACGGAUGUAUCUAAUACUAAAAUGUGACUUGAUACAUCCGUAUCUAGACAAAUCUAAGACAAGAACUUUGGGACGGAGGGAGUACUUU
rfam:Triticum aestivum genome assembly, contig: Triticum_aestivum_CS42_TGACv1_scaffold_146235_2BS